rfam:Picea glauca, whole genome shotgun sequence.
AGAUUCCUAAAUCAUAGUGUUAAUUCACAUGAUCCCAUUAGAACUCCACAAUUAAGUGCGCUUAGGUUAGAGUAGUACUGGGAUGGGUAACCGCCCGAGAAUUCAGAAUGUCUC